rnacentral:lncRNA from 1 species
CUUGCAGUGCAAGCAGUUCUGCUCAGACACUCUGAGCAAGAGCAGGGAUUCAGAUGAAAGACUCCUGAUUUGAAAUUCUUGUAGAAUUCCUCCCUAUUGCUGUGAAUGCGGCCUGUUUCAACUUAUCUGGUUUCACAGCAAUAAUUGAGCCCCUUUGGUUUGUCUCUGAGGAGAGGGAACUCAAUAACUGGUGCAGAGAAUCUGCCCCAGGG